AAAAAAUACAGAAGACUUUGGAUAAUACUAAUCCUAAUGAUGAAGUGAUACAUUUUGAAGAUUUCAUCAGAGAAUUGACUAACAGUGAUGAAUUUAUUGAGUGCCAAAGAAUAGAGGAUGUAUGGAACAUUGUUAAUAGUG